ensembl:lncRNA
UAUCGGAACAAACUGACUGUGCCCCUCUAAUCAAAGAAAUGUGAAGCUAGCAAGAGGCCCCAAAUACAUUUCCUGGCAACAGGACAAAAGUAAGUCUACUGAGAAGUUUAUGCAAAGAGAAUAUUCCUAGUAUAUACAGUUCUGUCUUGUACUCAGAUGCCCAUACCAAAGCAAUUACUGUAUGGGAGAUGCCGACUGGCUGGAAGAACCUGCUCAUUCUGGAUCUGUAAUGGAGUCUGCGAGGAGCUCAGCUUCUUGGUGUGGAAGAAGGCAGUGGUCUGAUCUUCAGCAUCCUCCUGUCCUGGUAGAUUAUGUCAUGAACAGCUCUCCUUGGGGUCGUUUGUGAAGAGAUAUCUUGGAGGAUAGUAUCAUCACCGGUUGGGGACCAGCGUGGCUGCCUAAAUUGUCCAUCCUAGUGUUUGUCAAGAAAGGGUGAGGGAAGAUGACACUUCUCCAGAUGCCUCCAGGAGCCAAACCACAGCAGCUCCUUCCUAGUUGCCACCAACCUCAUGGAUGUCCAACCUUACAUGUGGAUGGAGCAAUGGAUGAGGUGCUGGAUGCUCAGCGCUUUUCCCUUUCCUAUGGCUGAAUGUCGGCUGAUGCUGUUUGCUAAACAAGAGUGCCGGUGGCAGAGGAAUUAGAAGAAAUCCCUUCUUAAUUGGAAACAGGACAAAUCCAGGCAAACGGGUGCUGAGCCAGCAACAGCAUGGGACCAGCUCGUCUUCUGUGGGUAUCAUGAAAUUCAGCAUCCUUCACUGCCUCCAACAUUGAGGUCCUGCAGGUAUGACUUUGCUUCAUGUGGAUCUCCAAAGUUGCUAAAGAUGCUAAUGAACCUCUACUGUAAGGUUCGAAAUCAUCCAGGAUGACAGCAGAUCUUUCCCAAAGGCUUCCCAGGUCAGGAAGGGGGGGAACUGCAGAGGCAAAGCAGGAGGAAGUAAGAAGGAUGCUUGUCCCUACUCAACUACCUUCUCUGGCGUGGCUUUGAGGGGGGCCCAGAGGUGGAAGGAGUGGAAAUCUGGCUCCAGGUGGCAGUCCUGAUUUGCAUGUCCACUCUUUGGAGCUCCCAAGCACCUCCUUAGGCAGUUGACCUGAUCACAGGUAGUGGGGUACUGAGCCACGUUGGAGCCUUGCUAUUGUAGCUGCAGCAUACUCUGGGGAGAAAAAUAUGGAAGGGGGAGGCUUGUAUCUCCUUGGAAAAAGCUGGGGUGUGCAUUUGGCUUUCUCCUCUGAGUAUUCUUGUUUUGCCUCUGAGCCGCCCCCUCCUCAUGCAUUCCUGCACAAACCCCCUUUGUUUGCUGCCCUCAGUCAGGAUCCAGGCAGCAACAGCCCAGAUGUUCCCUAUCAAACUCAGAGCCAUGCCAACAAACUUUGGCACACAUGAAAGUGUGCUGAGGAAUGGGCCUCUGCAAAUACCAUUCUUUUUCCCCCUUCCCAUUCCUGCAAGUAUUUUUAAAUGUUAAUGGCUUCCAUGCCGCAACAGCCCAUGGGGGACUGCAAAUUAAUGGUGAGGGGCAAAUCUGUCCCAACUUUGAAACCCUGGCCCUCGUUCCUGCAGUGUGGUUUUCCCGUGGGUGAUGGUGCAUGGAGGGAGCAGACACAGCUCAGCCUGUAGAGGAGAAAUCCCAGUAAAACUGGAUGAUUGCAUGAGUCCAAUGGAUAGUCUCUGCCCAUUGGUGCUGUUGUUCCUUUCUCACCUCCCCACACUGACAGGCUAAGGAGAUGAUGAAUGAGGGUGGUGAACCCCUCACCCUUGAUCAGAGAUGAUCUCCUUGAGGAGUGCAUCCAGGUUUCCAUCCUGGAACAGUACCCUUCUCUUUUUGCACAUGAAGGGAUGGUGCAAGCCGUAGGUCCUUGUCUCAGACAUGGGCUUGGAGAUAAAUGGAACUUGGAGGAAAGGCGAAGGUAAAGAGGCAAGAAAAGAAAAAAUGGUCUGAGCUGAUGAAAGCUGCUUUCUUGCUCUGGAGAUGGAGAAUGGGGAGGUGACAUGGUUAUUCACAGUAGGUUUGCAGGGACUGCUUCUAGAAAGCAGGAGCUGAGCACCAGCUCUUGGUUCCCUUCAUUAAGGAGGGAAGGCAGCACACUAAAUUUGCCAGUAAAAUAGUAAUAAUAAUAAUAAAAAAAUCCAUAGCUCUUAAACUAUCCUGUUUAAAAAUAAUAAAAAUUAAGAGGUACUUGCCAUUUCACGUCGUCUGGUUUAGCUGCAGGGAGCAACAUGGCCCUGAGAGCUAACCUGCUGGAGCAGAUCCCCACUGUGUUCAAAGGCAGUGGGGAGACCUGAGUUUGCUUUCAGGCUGGGGCUGCUGAGGGUUUUGAAGCCCUGAGCAGGUUUUCAAAGAUCUCUUUUUUUCAUGGCCAAGCAGUCUGGGGGAAAAAUAUAUGGCUGAAUUGGCAUGAAGGGAAGGAUCCAGAUGCUCCCUGGGUUACACUGUGGCCUCUGCAGAAAGGCUGCAGUCUUGGGCUUCCUAUAAAACCUGGAGGAGAAAGGUCCUGUCUGUGAGCACAGACAGUCUGCUUCCCUAAGCGAGGCCGAUUCCAACAGUUGAUCUUCAUUUAAUGCUCCCAAGCCAGAUGAAAAAAUGCAGACAAUCUUAGUGUGUAUGUAAGGGGGUUUCUAGUUGCUGGUGCACAGGUGUUGCUACACAGAUGAUGUGGAAGUACCCUGAUGUAUGCUGGCUAAAUAACCCUGCUUUUCCAAGGUUAUCGUGUUGGAUUAAAAGGUAAUGCUGGCUUGGUCUCAGCUGCAAAGCUCGGGGUAUCAGUUUUGUCCUCUUCAACCCAUCUUCAGUCUGUUUGGGAGCACAUUGCUACACUGAGCACGCAGACAGGAAUUGCGGAGCCUUUCCUCCUGCUAGGAGAGGAAUCUGGAAACGAUUACAAGCUGCUCAUGCUUAAUCAUUGGGUGAAUCUUAAAUGCCUGGCUUAAUAUUUUGCAGGACUGAAGAUGGCAUCUGAAUUUUUGUGGUGUGCAGGUUACAUGGCAGAGCCUGGAUGGUUUUGUUGUGUGUGUUUGAGGAGCAGCUGGUCCUGAGGACCCCAUGCUUCCUCUGAAGUCUAGGUACAGUUUCAAAGGAAACCCAAAGUGCAAAGGGGGAGGGGGGUGGAAAAUGGAACUGUUUUGUCUGAUAUUUGUGCAAACUGGCAGCUCCGCCAUGUUCUCGUGAGCCUUACUGAGUCUGGUCAUUUCUACUUCAAACUGAAUUAGAGUGUUACAUGAGUUAAAAAAAAAAAAAAAAUGAAAUCUCCUGGGAAAAGGAUGGAAACCAAAAUAACUCCCAGUUCUGGGCUGGAGUCAGUCAACGACAAGGCAAACAAUAGGCAUCCUUCUUUUCUUCCUUAAAUAUCAGAAUGCUUCACAUCGGCAUUCUCAGGCUGAAGCCGUUUGCUUUACUAAAGAUCAGUAGAUGAGUUUAGUAGAUCAGAAGAUGAGUUUUAAAGACAGGUUUUCUUCAUUUGUCGGAUGGACCCUAAUUGAAAAGAAGGAAAAGUUGUGGGUUUUAGUUUUGACUUCUCUUAAAGAUUAAAUAGUCUCCUUUGUUACUGGUCAGGCAGAAUAUCUCUCCUUGACCCCAAAUGAAAUGAGUUUUUCUGAUUGUACUAAAAAAUAGUUCAUCUUCACCUUGGCUCCAAAACUAGGAUUUUUCCACCAAUGCUUUUACUUUGGUGACCAGAAGAAACCCAUCAUCCUUGUUUUCACCUUACUGCUGCAGUGUUAAAGGGUCUAAUUUUGGUUGCCCCUAUUUUAAUUGGGGCAUUCCUUACUGAAGUGAUAAUUUAUUGCUAGCUGAGAUCUGCGACAUCCAUGUUCACAGCCAGGGCGUGGUACAGAUCUCUCUCCAGCAAUCUUGGAUUCCUCAUCAAAGAGCUGCUAAGCUUCCCUGGCCUUCAGCCUGCUUAUUUACAGUCUUUAUAGCUCAGGCUCAGAACUUGAUGCUAACUAACGAAGGUUUGGAAAUCUUCAUUAACACAUGUGGCCCUGGUAAGCCUUGGGGGUGUCAGUCAGGCCUGCAGUUGUGCCAGGACUUAACUAAAGAAAACGCUUCCCUUGGAGAAACUGCUGUAAAGUAGCUUCUACCAGAACAUUUUGGAGGGCUCCUGCCUUGGAGGGGUGAUUUUCCAAAGUCAUGAAAGGCAGUUACUUCUAGAGCCUUGGUAAGAGCCAAGCUCUCUGCAUUUCAGCAGUCCUUUGAAGACCUCCUCCAAACCCUACCUUGGUAAAUGGCAGUUUCUCACUGAAGAUCACAUGAGCUCCUUUUUUUGUUGUUGGUGUUUUGGGGUUUUUUUGAGCUUGUUGUGGAGGAACCAUCAAGGUUUGGCAUUGGGAGUGUAAUCUUAGCUGGCAUCAUCAAUCCUUUUUUGCUAGGCCUGGGAAACCUGCCCAAACCCUGGAUAGAGGUGUUCAUUUGAGUGUUCUUUCAGCCCCACCAGCCAAAAAUGAGCCAAAGCAGUGCAAGCUGAUUAAUUGCUGCAUUUAUGUACACCAGCAGCAGAGGUAUCUUGUGGGGAUACAGCAGAUGGGAGCAGGGUUCCACAUUGCUCCCUGAGGGCUACCACAACUUACCUGCAACUGGGAGUUGUGUAACCCCAGGUUGCUGAGUUAUGAUGGUGUCAAGCUAGGAGAGGUGAGGAGACAGCAUCCUCCAGGACAUGUAACUGGAAGGAGAUACAUGAAGUGGCCAUAACUCAUUUUGGACUUGGUGGUCGCUAGUGGGCAUUCUGCAAGUAGUCAGAGGACACUGAGGGGUAUUUGGGGUGACUUUCACAUCAUAUAAGGGUCUACUGCUGGCUCUGAGUUUGGCAAGCAUCCAUCCUUCUGUCUUGCCAUUAGAAGAGGAUGAUUUCCCAUGCUGACUGUUGAAAAGCCGGCUGCCACCAGGGAUGGCACAGCCAUGUCUGUGUAUGGAGUGAUGAGGCUGUGACAGCUGAAGGAGGAGGUGGGAACGGUGUGGGAAGCAUCCUGGUCAUGGGAACAAGGCUGAGAUCCAAUGGGCUGGCAACAAUCAUUCAGCACAGAGAGGUCAAAAUUUCUGUACAGCAGCCUGGACCCAUGGGGCAUCGAUGGAUCUGCAUCUCCUCUAGAGCUUGUGUGGGGAUCCACACAUCUGAAACCACUGAAAACCACAUCUCGUUAUCCCAGGACUGCAUUGACCUCUGCUCUGUCUUGCCCAGUGGAUGUUUAUUCUUAAAACUAUCUGGUGGUGGAGACCCUGUGCUCUUCUGAAGCUAUUUCUCUCAACAUUUUGCUGCCUGAAGUGCAUUUCUCAGAUCCAGCUUUUUCCUCCACUUAUCCACCCCAGACUUCUUUACAGCUGCAUUUUAUAUAUUUAAAAGCUACUAUCAUGUCGUCUUCCCUGUAAUAGUCUCUGAUUGAGACUAAACAACCACAGUUUCUUCACUUGAGCGUGUAACAACAAUCAGUUUGUUUGAUGGAAUUCAGUGUUCUUAGCGCAGCGGUUCUAAUACUCAUUCUAUGCCAAAACUAACAAACAUUUCACAACUUUCUCUUCAAAUCUCUAGUUUUAUCAAUUGUUAUGUCAAUUAAGGUUACAAUUUUAACACAAGUGGUAAAAAAAAUUAAAUCAAUUGCUUUCUAAUUUUUCUAUGUGUUUGAAUUAUGGCAUCCACUGAGCAAUGCAGUUGGGAAAACUAAAGAAACAUCAUGAAAUAGUUAAUGUGGUUUUUAAAAAGUAUUCAUUUAGAGACAUUAAAAGAUACUUUUAGAGAGUUAUUAGCUGCGAAAAUAAUUCUUCAGCUAUAUGAAAAUAUAUAGCAAUAAUUGCUAUAGUGUUCCACUUGUUUCACUACUUAGCUCUGGCUUUGCAAUCCAAAGUGGUACGUUU